rnacentral:rRNA from 1 species
CUUGGUCAUUUAGAGGAAGUAAAAGUCGUAACAAGGUCUCCGUUGGUGAACCAGCGGAGGGAUCAUUAAAGAGUUUUUUAAACUCCUAAAACCCAUGUGAAUUUACCAAUGUUGCCUCGGCGGGGAAAGCUUACCCGCCGGUGGACCAUUCAAACUCUUAUUUUUCUUGGCAUUUCUGAAUUAUUAUCAUAAUAAGUUAAAACUUUCAACAACGGAUCUCUUGGUUCUGGCAUCGAUGAAGAACGCAGCGAAAUGCGAUAAGUAAUGUGAAUUGCAGAAUUCAGUGAAUCAUCGAAUCUUUGAACGCACAUUGCGCCCAUUAGUAUUCUAAUGGGCAUGCCUGUUCGAGCGUCAUUUCAACCCUCAAGCCCUAGUUGCUUGGUGUUGGGAGCUUAUCCUGCCGGAAGGCGGGACAACUCCUUAAAAUUAUUGGCGGAGUCACGGUGACCCCAAGCGCAGUAAUCUUUUUUUCUCGCUUUAGGUGUUAACGCUGGCCUCUAGCCAUUAAACCAACUCUAUUUUCUCAAAUGGUUGACCUCGGAUCAGGUAGGACUACCCGCUGAACUUAAGCAUAUCAAUAAGCGGAGGA